AAAGCUCAAAUUUAAAAUCUGGUAGUCUUUGGCUGCCCGAGUUGUAAUCUAGAGAAGCAUUAUCCGCGCUGGACCGUGUACAAGUCUCCUGGAACGGAGCGUCAUAGAGGGUGAGAAUCCCGUCUUUGACACGGACUACCAGGGCUUUGUGAUGUGCUCUCAAAGAGUCGAGUUGUUUGGGAAUGCAGCUCUAAAUGGGUGGUAAAUUCCAUCUAAAGCUAAAUAUUGGCGAGAGACCGNUNGCGAA
rnacentral:rRNA from 1 species